rnacentral:lncRNA from 1 species
UACAGAUGAGAAAAUGGAGUCUUGGAAGGCAAAGUGACACCAUGCUGGAAGAAGAGCAGAGAGGAAUUGGAACCCACUCAGGACCUUGGAAAUCUUCAUCUUUCUGGAAGGGCCAACCAGGCAUUCAUCCUUGGCCUCCACUGGCUCCUUCUCUGUCUCCAAAGAUUUUAAAUAACGUGGCAGGCAAGGCUGCCUGAAGGCUGGGACAAGCGAUGGUCCCUGGGCUCCUCCCCAGAGCUCGACUUCUCCUACGCUGGAGCUGUCUCCACAGGCCCCCCUGUGUACAGUGCAGGAUUGGAAGGAGCACUGGACGGGGAGUCAGUGGAGCAGAUCAUUGAACCUCCUGAUCCGUGGAAGGUGGCUGCUUGCAAAGUUCUGAUGACAUCACAUGGAUGUGUGUUGGCCGGGUAUUCCCUGGGGAAUGAGCUUAGCGCGGAAGCAGAAGAGUUGCAUUUUCUAAACCACCAGCUAAGUGGCAGGUCUUCUGACUUGCUUGGAGCCAGGAGGGAGCAGAAGUGGCUUGAACCUCUGGGGAAGGCUGGAAUCCUGGAGGCUCUACCUUCAAAUAAUCAGAAUCCAACAACUUCUUCCCCGCGCUGCUGCCUCUUCCUGGUCAGAGAUGCCGCUGACUGUACCGGGAGCAAUGCCCUGGUCUCCUAACUGGUCUCCUGCCUCUACACUUGCCCCCUCCGGUCUGUUAAGUCCACGUCCUGUUCUGGAUGUUUCAUAUAAAUGGAAUCACACAAUCAGUGGUACUGUGUGACUGGUUUAUUUCCUGAGUGCUACAUUUUACAACUCCGUGAUGUUAUUAUUUGGUUGGAGCAAAAGUUAUUGCAGUUUUGGCCAUUGCUUUUAAUGGCAAAUCCGCAAGAACGUUUGCAUCAACCUAAAUAAGUAAGCAAUGGUUAAACCAUACAUUCUCAAAUGUAUUAGAAAGGAAUAAUAGUAAAUAUUUGGAAGACAGUCAGUGGGGCAGGAUGCGAGGUAAGAAGAGUGACUGUAGGUCAGGAGUCAGGGGCGUCGGGUUCUAGUCCUGAUUCUGUCUUUAGCCAUGCAACCAAGUGAGCACAGCAACCUCUCUGGGGACACUAAUACAUUUGUUCAAGCCGCCCAGCAACUAAUGGAAAGAGAUUACAGCUAGGAC